rnacentral:rRNA from 1 species
AGUGAACGCUGGCGGUAGGCCUAACACAUGCAAGUCGAACGGCAGCACAGUAAGAGCUUGCUCUUACGGGUGGCGAGUGGCGGACGGGUGAGGAAUACAUCGGAAUCUACUUUUUCGUGGGGGAUAACGUAGGGAAACUUACGCUAAUACCGCAUACGACCUACGGGUGAAAGCAGGGGAUCUUCGGACCUUGCGCGAUUGAAUGAGCCGAUGUCGGAUUAGCUAGUUGGCGGGGUAAAGGCCCACCAAGGCGACGAUCCGUAGCUGGUCUGAGAGGAUGAUGAGCGACACUGGAACUGGGACACGGUCCAGACUCCUACGGGAGGCAGCAGUGGGGAAUAUUGGACAAUGGGCGCAAGCCUGAUCCAGCCAUACCGCGUGGGUGAAGAAGGCCUUCGGGUUGUAAAGCCCUUUUGUUGGGAAAGAAAAGCAGCAGGUUAAUACCCCGCUGUUCUGACGGUACCCAAAGAAUAAGCACCGGCUAACUUCGUG